rnacentral:rRNA from 1 species
GACGAACGCUGGCGGCAUGCCUAAUACAUGCAAGUCGAGCGAACAGAUGGAGUGCUUGCACUUCUGACGUUAGCGGCGAACGGGUGAGUAACACGUAAGGAAUCUACCUAUAAGCGGGGGAUAACAUUCGGAAACGGGUGCUAAUACCGCAUAAUAUCUUCUUCCGCAUGGAAGAAGAUUGAAAGACGGCUCUGCUGUCACUUAUAGAUGACCUUGCGGUGCAUUAGUUGGUUGGUGGGGUAACGGCCUACCAAGACGAUGAUGCAUAGCCGACCUGAGAGGGUGAUCGGACACAUUGGGACGAAGACACGGCCAAACUCCUACGGGAGGCAGCAGUAGGGAAUCUUCCGCAAUGGGCGAAAGCCUGACGGAGCAAUGCCGCGUGAGUGAAGGAGGCCUUCGGGUCGUAAAACUCUGUUAUAAGAGAAGAACAAAUUGUAGAGUAACUGCUACAGUCUUGACGGUAUCUUAUCAGAAAGCCACGGCUAACUACGUGCCAGCCGCCGCAGUAA